AUGGACGCGCAGCAGCGGAGCGCCGCGGCCAAUCAAGAGACAUCAUCGACGCUGGCGCCGACAGCCGCCGCCACCGACGAGGAGCACGAGCAUCCCACGCUGCACAUGCACAACGCGGCCGAGGUCAUCCCGGCGCUGCCGCUCGAAACGCGGUGGCCGCCGUUCGCGCUCCGCCGGUACCGCGGCUACUGGCUGGCCGAGCGGUUCCUGCCGGGGCUCGCCGCCUUCAACGACCACUUCGAGCCGGCCCCCGGCGCCACGGACGUGCUCCUGGCCACCUGCCCCAAGUCCGGCACCACGUGGCUCAAGGCCCUCGCCUUCGCCACCGCGCACCGCGCCGCGCACCCGCCGUCGUCGCCAGGCCACCCGCUCCUCUGCCGCAGCCCGCACGGGCUCGUCAUGUUCCUGGACGACAUAUUCGGCCGCCCCGUCGAAGACGCGCGGCGCGUCCUCGCCGCCUACCCGUCUCCGCCGCGCCUCUUCGGCACCCACUGGGCCUACUCUCAACUGCCGGAGCGCGUCACCGCUGGAUGCCGCAUCGUGUACCUCUGCCGGGACCCCAAGGACGUGAUGGUGUCCUGGUACUGGUUCCUCAAGAAGUUUCUCCCCCACGACGCCGGCGACCUCGACUUCAUGGAGCUCUUCGAGGUGUUCUGUGAGGGACGCAGCGGGUACGGACCGGCUUGGCGGCACGCCGCCGAGUACUGGGAGGCGAGCGAGGGACACCCGGACAAGGUGCUCUUCCUCAGGUACGAGGAGAUGCUGCGCGACCCUGCUGAGAAUGUCGGAAAGCUCGCGCAGUUCCUCGGGUGCCCGUUCACAUCGGCGGAGGAGGACGCCGGCGUGGUAGAAUCCGUGGUGGAGCUGUGCAGCCUGGAGAAGCUGAGUAGCCUGGAGGUGAACAGGAGCGGCGCGCCGGCGCUGGCCGUGCCCAACGACGCCUUCUUCAGGAAGGGGGUGGCCGGCGACUGGCGCAACCAGAUGACGCCGGAGAUGGCGGCGAGGCUGGACGCCAUCGUCGAGGACGCCCUGCAUGGCACAGGGUUUUCAUUCGUCCACUCCGGGCACGCGGUGGAGCACCACGGGACCGGCGCCGGAGCACCAUAG
rnacentral:rRNA from 1 species